AUUUGUUUCGGUAGGCCACCUUAAUUUAUGUUUUUUUGGUUGCAAUUUCUGUAACGGCAAUGAAGUGCACUCAUUCUUCAUUCACACUUCACCGCGAAGACACAUAUGUAUGUACAUACAAACAUAUGCAUCGGUUGUUAGUUCAUAUUGUAAUGUAAUGUUUGACGUAGCGACGAGUCGGAAUGUCGAAGUCAACGCGAAAAUUGAAAGUUGAAAGUCAUAUGUUUGUCGUUGCUCGUAUAGGUGACCUGAAAAAUAACAGCAUUAUGUGAAAAAUGUGACGGAUCUUAGGAAAAAUAAAUUUAGAUAAGAUUAUAGGUAAACAUAUGUAACAGCUGAUGACUGAUUUUGAUCCAUAACCCAUCUUGAGAUGGAUAACAUUCAUUAUUGGAUAAUAUUCGACCGAAUAGACAAAGUUCGUGAAGAAAAUAUAGCGGCCGUAGCGAGAAUGUCCACGAAGACCGUGGAGAGUCGAUUCGGUACCGUUUGCAGAAACUCGGACUGAUGUAUGACACGACUUGGCGCAUUUUACGUUGAGAUCUUAAACUGAAAGAGUACGAAAUACAGCUUAUGCAAGAACAGAAGCCGUUCGACCUUCCCAAGCGACAUUGCUCCGCUCUAUGGGCUCCUGAAAAGUUCCAACAAAAUCCAACGUUUUCGAACCAAAUUUUGUUCAGCGAUGAGGCCCAUUUCUGGCUCAAUGGGUAUGUAAACAUACAAAAAACAACCUGAAGAGAUUCAAGGAAUUUUUGGGAUCCUUAACCUAUCAGGAUAGACUACGACAAGAACGUUAAGUUGCAGUUAUAAUGAAGAUCUUGGACUUCCUUUUGUAUCGAACUGUAUGUCACGAAAACGAUUUCUGGAUAUUAAGAGAAACCACUUAGUUGAUAAAAGCCUUGCAUCUACUUCCAAUGAUAAGAUGUUCAAAAUCAGGCCUUUGUAACAUGCUAAUGAGAAAGUUUUGUAAAAAAGGUAUAUUUCACAAUGACAUUUCAAUCGAUGAAUCUAUAAUAAAAUAUUAUGAUCACUAUCCCCCCAAACAGUUUAUCAGAGGAAAGCCAAUUAGAUUUGGUUACAAAAACAGAGUGGCAACCAGUUCAAAUGGUUACUGCUAUGACUUUGAUAUGUAAUAUAUUGUGGAAAAACUGUGGCGAGUCUCUGUUAUUAAAAUGCCUUCGGUACCUGAGGAACACACAAUUUAUUUUGACAAUUUUGUUUACAUAUUAUGAUUUACCGCGAGAUUUGAAAGAAAUUGGUUUUAAAACAACAUGAAAAAGUCAUCUAGCGCUGAAUAUGACUACCGUUUCGAUAACAGUAAUGAAUUACUGGUGAUAAGGUGGAAAGAUAAUAGUAUGUGCACAAUAGGAACCAAUUUCGAUACAAUUGAGCUUAGGGGUAAAUUAAAAUGUGAGUAUUCCACACUUAUUUUAAAACUACAAUAAGGGCAUGAGCGGUAUGGACGGUUCUAUCGCAUUGUAUCACGUUAGUAUUCGUGGUAAAAAAUGGUGGCGGGUUAUCUUCACAUAGUAUAUGCUUAAUAUGAGUAUAUCUAACGCAUGGCAUUCACAUUCUUUAGCGAACGAAAAUCGAUUUGGGCAAUUAGCUUUAAGAAGGCAUAUUGCACGAAACUACCUUAGGUCUCGCAACUGCGACAAAACCCGCCCAUCAGGUUCUAUCGCCAGUAUCUCAUCACUAUAAAAUGUAAAGGGUGCAUUUUUUAGACAGGUGUUUUCAAGAAUGACCAAACAUGUGGUUUUAUUAUACAGAUAAUGGUUUAAUGUUUUAAAAAUGAUUUCGGGCAAUUGACCGCGCCAGCUGGCUGGAAUCAAAAACCUUUCUCAAAAAGUAUUAAACUGUCCGUAAUGGGGAGUCGUAUUUCAAGUCGACGCGAUUAUAAAUAUAUCAGGAUAAUUAGACGAGUUCAAAAAUAGUACACACAACUUUUAAAUCCCGCCUUAUCUGUUCAUACCGUGAAAAACAUAAUAUGCCUUAUAUUCACUGAUAUCCAAAUAUUUUGUGCCAAAAUGGAAAAUUUGUAACGCAUUUCAUGCUCAAUACGAUUUGUUUGCAAACUUUUAUGCCGCGCACACGCAAAUCCAACGCAUGCGACGAAGUCAGCAUAGAAAGGCGUAACCUUAUUUAAACUUGUACCAAGCGAAUCGAAACAACGCACAGCCGAGCGGUAAAUCAAGCGCGAGCGAACCAAAGAAUAGUGUUUUGUGAAAACUGUGUAUCAAACGGUACAAGCGGUAGUAGAAGAGAAUAAAUUCAUGUUGUGGCGGAAAAGAUUUUGACUGCCACAACAUGUGGCAUAGGUGGUGGCAUAAGCACACACUUGUGCUGACGUGGCACCCACUAGGCGGUCGCAGCCAUACGUUUCGGAUUUUCUGCGUGUGCGUGAAUGAGCACACGCGGACUCAGUGCAGGAUGUGCAACGUAAGUGCAACAAGCGAUGGUUGUGGUGCUAAACGUUCUUUGUCGCUUUUUGACGCGAAAAGGGACGCGAGCGUAUAAUUACGAUUAGUAACGCUAAUCGACGCCUCAAUUUGAGCGUGACACGCAUUUUGUAGCUCGUAAAAAUAUAAAUACACACAUAUGUAUACAGUGUGUACCUACACACACAGCACUGCAAAGCGGGCGAAGGCGAUAAGAAGGAUAUUACCUUGUAAUAUAUUGUAGGUAGCAAAUAACAACAAAAGUUGAAAAUAAUCAAUAUAACGCACACUGACCGCCGACACCGCCAUCUUCAGCGGCUGCCGUGGCGAAUGCGCCAACAGGUAAACAAAGCAACCCGGCUGAGGAAAUGCUAAUAAAAUUUUUACACAUACUAACAACUAUGCAUGUUUACAAAUGCAAUAAUGCUUUGACGGAAUAACCGUAAAAAUGUGCACAUAAAAAUGUUAUGGUGUGUUGAAAGCAGAGAAAAAAUAUUAUUUAGACACAAUAAUAUCUCAAACUGCAACUAAACAAAGUUGCCUUCAGCAUGUGCGUGUAAGCGUGUGUGUGUGCGGCAGACACAAUGUUGUCAAAGCAUAGCGGUUAUUAGAAGCUGUUGUGACAUUUUCCACAAACACAAACGCAUAAUUGGAAAUGGCUUACCGCGCAUGGCACAACCAAAUUGCUUCGCGCAGCUUCUUGCGCUUUGCUGAUUAGUCUUUCACCAAGUCAACUAGUCAAUAUAAAUGAUUCCCGCUGUUAACUGUUUACUGUACGCGUGAACGAUGACUUCAUUGCUGCGCAGCGGUGUGCUAUUCGGUAGCAUUGCUCAGUCGCUGCGGUAGCGCCGUGACCACGCAGCGUCCUAUGGCUACUGCCGCUAGUAAUUGAAAUGAUCGCUCACCAAAGUAUUGCAUACGAAUCAAUAGCAAUUCUUGGUAGUUGGGAAGUGGUAAGAAAUUUAAGCUAUAAAGCGGGUGUAUUUUUGUGGCAGCGGCACUUAAUUAUGGGUUUAAGCGCGAUAAAUGCGGGCGGUGCUGUCUUAACCCUUGUAUGCACUAUGUUUAAUAUUAAUUUAAAUGAAAUUAAAUUAUCUGAAUAAAAAUUAUAGUAAAACAAA